UACAGAGGUCCCGAGCGUUGUUCGGAUUCACUGGGCGUAAAGGGCGCGCAGGCCGGUUGGCAAGUUUGAUGUGAAAGCCCCGGGCUUAACCCGGGAAUGGCAUUGAAUACUGCUGAUCUGGAGGAUCGGAGGGGGGACUGGAAUUCUUGGUGUAGCAGUGAAAUGCGUAGAUAUCAAGAGGAACACCAGUGGCGAAGGCGAGUCCCUGGACGAUACCUGACACUGAGGCACGAAAGCCGGGGGAGCAAACAGG
rnacentral:rRNA from 1 species